rnacentral:tRNA from 1 species
CGGGGCGUAGCGCAGUCCGGUAGCGCGUCUGGUUUGGGACCAGAAGGUCGGCGGUUCGAAUCCGCCCGCCCCGA